rnacentral:RNase_P_RNA from 1 species
CCGGAACGGCCGGGUGGCCGCCGCGAGCGAUGGUCAGAAAUGGUUUUCGUCUCGGGGAGGAAAGUCCGGGCUCCACCGGACGGGGUGCUGGGUAACGCCCAGGCUCCGGCGCGGGCAACCGAGUCGGGGACGGAAAGUGGCACAGAAACAUACCGCCGGCCUGUCGUCGACGGGCCGGUAAGGGUGAAAUCGGACGGUAAGAGCGUCCGGCCGCGUGCGGUGACGCACCGGCGGCCAAACCCCACCUGGAGCAAGGCCAAAUAGGGGGACUAUGGGUGUCCGGCCCGUCCCCGGGUUGGCCGCUUGACCCCAGCGGCAACGCUGCCCCGACUGACGGGGCGAUGCGGGUCACACCGCAUCGGGGCUAGAUAGAUGGUCACCGUCCGCUUCAUGCGGAUACAGAACCCGGCUUACAGGCCGCCCGGCAUU